UAUGCUUAGAACUCAAAUUGAAAGCACAAAUUGUAAAUGCCAUAGACAGAAUAAAUUAAAACAAAUAAAAAUUUCAAGUGUAAAUUAUGAAGACCACAGAUUUGUUGCGUGCAGAUGAUACACUAAUGCGCAUUAUCAAGUGGCUGCAAUACUGCGGCGCAUUUAGUGUUUAUGUGUAUAAGUUUGUAAAUCAAAAUGAAUUCAAUAAGCUCACCUUUAGGUCUUCGAUUUUGUUUCUUUGUGGCGCGUGCCUCACCAGGUUGUGAAUAAAAUUUGCAUAAAUCUAUAAAAA